GAAUUUUGGACAAUGGGCGAAAGCCUGAUCCAGCAAUGCCGCGUGCAGGAUGAAGGCCUUCGGGUUGUAAACUGCUUUUGUACGGAACGAAAAGCUUUGGGUUAAUACCCUGGAGUCAUGACGGUACCGUAAGAAUAAGCACCGGGUAACUACGUGCCAGAAGCCGCGGUAAUACGUAGGGUGCAAGCGUUAAUCGGAAUUACUGGGCGUAAAGCGUGCGCAGGCGGUUUUGUAAGACAGAGGUGAAAUCCCCGGGCUCAACCUGGGAACUGCCUUUGUGACUGCAAGGCUAGAGUACGGCAGAGGGGGGUGGAAUUCCGCGUGUAGCAGUGAAAUGCGUAGAUAUGCGGAGGAACACCGAUGGCGAAGGCAACCCCCUGGGCCUGUACUGACGCUCAUGCACGAAAGCGUGGGGAGCAAACAGG
rnacentral:rRNA from 1 species